rnacentral:lncRNA from 1 species
UGGCUACAUAUCUGUCUCUGGAACAAUAGGUACCUAUAUUCUGCACGGGCUUCUGGGCAGGCAGCACUAACACUCAGGAGAAGGUCUGCCUCUGUCUGCGCCUUCCUGGUUCAAUGCAGGCAGAUGAGUGUCACAGAUGUAACUGAGGCACUGAAUAAUCAACAUAUCGGAGCCAAUUCCCAGGACGGCAAGAGGGGGAACCGGCAGAGAUGACUGACCCUGGAGGACAAGAGCAUUCUUCUGACAAGUUUUAGCAUGGACUAUCCUCAGGAAAAUGAGAUCCAGGAAGAGUGACGCCCUCCUCGAACUGAAAGAUACUCAGGUUGAUGGAGUCAGGGACGAAGUGGCUUAUCAACAACACAGGAUGUCUGCAGGGAACAGAACUUAUUCAGACAUGGCCCAGAUUGUCUGCCCGUGGGGACUGAGGGACCUCUGAGGGUUACAUCAGGAAGGAGAGGCUGUUUCUACAGGUGCCACAGAAAAAUCGAUGCUGAGCCUCGGAUUAUUGGAUCCCAUAGAACCGUGGAGACUUGGCAGUGAAAUUCUUCCAAAGCAUUCCAUCUGCGCAGGCAGGCAGAGGUUUUCCUGGUUUGGGAAGUAUAAAUCCCGUGGGAAGUCAACUGGAGGACAUUUUACGCGUCACUCAUCCUAUUAUGAGCCUGCUGCUCCUCCGUCUCUUGACAAGUUGGCAGCUAAAGGACAGGAGCAGCAAUAAGGCUUCCUGGCUACAUUUUCAUGGUGCCACCAACUGCGAGUUAAGCUGACAAACAUUUUGAGAGCUCGGCCCAUUUCAUUCCCAGCAGGAUGGCAGGCUCUUGCUCUGUUGACUAAGCCUUGAGAUGUUUCUUUGCCUCUGCCUCUGCCUCUGCCUCUGCCUCUGCCUCUGCCUCUGCCUCUGCCUCUGCCUCUGCCUCUGCCUCUGCCUCUGCCUCUGCCUCUGCCUCUGCCUCUGCCUCUGCCUCUCCUUAGUGAGUGAACUGUUAAAAAAGGAGUUAACUAAAACAGAAUAAACUAAAAAUUGUGCCUUCAUUGCACAUUUGCACUGAUUAUCAGCACUGAAAAUGGCUAAGUUCUGCUUAUCAAGAGCGGGUGACUGAUUGUCCCUGCCAGCUGGCUAAUAUCAUAAUUAGCAAAGUUGCUACCACAUCUGCAAAGUUUAAUCGAAAAAUUUACCAGUGGUAUGAUGGCAUUGUCACCGCGAUCCUGAGGGAAUCAGAGUCGACUUCUGCUUCAACUGGAAUGGCAAGGCUGUAGAGCUGAGAUGAGAAACUGUAAACUUGCUCAGCCAAAGGAGGCUAAUAAUGAAGGGGCCAGGGAAGGAGGCCAAUGCUACAGGGUUAUCUCCUAACCUCAGAUGUUGGAUAAGUCCAUGGAAACAGCAGCGCUUCUGGAUGGCUUCAGAAAGGCUGGAGUGAUUGUUUGGACGAGAAAAACCCGCCUAUUCAUUCAAAGGUACAUGAAUGUUGUCGACACUGUCCCAUCUAAAGGUUCAUCCUUAGAAUUCUGCCUUAGACAAAGGAAGUGCUUGGAGCCCCACCACACCUAAAACCAUGCUUUGAAGGAUCUGCCAAGCUCACUUUUAAUCAUGAGAAAGAAAUUACCCACAUGGAGACAGCAGAAAAUGAGAAAGUAGAGAUCGUGCUGCGAAUAAUUCCAGCGAGUGCCAAGGGGCUAGUUGAGGAAUGGCUUCAUGAGAUGUUAGUCUAUCUAGAACAACAGAUUUGGAUCUAAGCUGGACCUUUGAGAAAGAAAAGACUUCGAGGAAAAACACCUUUCCAUAUGUUUUAUUACCUUUCACCUGAAUUGUUUAAUGCACACUAUCCAACUAUAUUCAUCUUUCUUGCUUCAUGUGUAUUUCUUCUUUUGCUUGAACUGCUUUAGAAUUGACUUUUGAGCUACACAGUCAUUCUGGAUUUUUAAAAAGAGAAUUCUAAUAAAAACUUAUAUAUGUUGUUAA